ACGUCAAACGACAGAUUUUUGGAGUUUAGACCAAUAAAACCUGUUUUAUAUUUAACAAAAUUGCG